rnacentral:rRNA from 1 species
GACAGAGGUGCCGAGCGUUAGGCGGAAUCACUGGGCUUAAAGCGUGUGUAGGCGGCCCGUUAAGUGCCCCGUGAAAUCCCCCGGCUCAACCGGGGAACUGCGGGGCAUACUGGCGGGCUUGGGUCGGCUCAGGGGCAGACGGAACAAGCGGUGGAGCGGUGAAAUGCGUAGAUAUCGCUUGGAACGCCAAAGGUGAAAACAGGUUGCUGGGGAUGUGGCUGACACUGAGACGCGAAAGCCAGGGGAGCGAACGGG